rnacentral:piRNA from 1 species
UCCCUGUUUUCUGAGACCUAACACCAACAC